rnacentral:lncRNA from 15 species
CUCCCUUCCAUCUGACUCUCCAAGGGUUUCCUGCCCCCUCCCCCAGCACACACUCACCCCGUCCCUUGAUAAUGGUGAGGAGGGGCCUGGGCUGUGACUGUUGACUUGGACUACUGUGGGAAUGCAGGUGCUGUGUGUGUUUGUGUGUGCUUUGGUAGCCCCCCCUCAUGGGCUCGCCAGCCAGCUCAGUGUCUGUCGUCUGUCACACCAGCCGCUCAGACUGUGCUGCCAUUGCUAUGACAGCAUGCUAUGGCAGAUGGCUGCCAAAAUAUCAAAACAAUCUCUUCUUAGCCCUCACGCAACUAAGGUUUUACUUGGAGACCUGCUCUUGCAGCACAGCCCAGCCCCGUAUCACAUUCCCACUGUCCAUCACUGGCACAAGACCCCCGCUUAGCAGCAGAGAAAGUCCUCGGGGUCUGCUCAUAAUGGACCUAAAUGCAGCUCAUUAUCCUGAUAAGGCAGGGGCGGUGGCCGAGCAAUGGCUGCCUGACUGGCUGGAUGACAGCCACACAGCUUUGACAGGUAGACAGAGGUAGACACAGCCAUGGUGGCUAUCUGAUGGACCCGGCUGACAGAUCCAGUUGCACAGGCCUGCUGCUCUGAGGCAAUGGAAGGGAUUGGAAACUGGACGCCGCAGAGCCACACAAUGAUAUCUCCAGUUCUGGCCCUCUGCUGUGUGAUGGAGUGUUGUGAAUGUGACCCCCCACCCCCCCUUCCCUCUGGAUGUGUGCACUGCAAAACAUGCCCAGCUUAAUAAAUCAAUGUACUCUAUAAAGUCAGUGGUUAUUGAUAGUUUAUUGCUUGUGGCUUUUUACAUUACGUUUGUGAUGAGAAUAUAUAAAGCUUUUUGACGAUUUUUAUUUCACUUAAAUUAAUCUCCUUAGUUUUAUGUCCUUAUGUCCCCAGAAAAUACUGAAAAUACUUUAGUCACUUGGUUUUCUGUUAAAUGCAAAUAUUUCCCCAAUGUGAAGCACUUUCUUAAUGAUUACAUUGUUAGACUUUCAGACUGGUAUUAGGGAGAAAACAUCUUUUUAAAGUUUCACUGUACUUUCACUAUACUCUGCUGUGCAUUGUACCCAGAUUAUUUGAGGAGGAUGUCCCUUUAGAAAAUGACCACAGUGGAAAAUUUGGAUUAACUUAUCAAUACAUAUAGUACAUGUUUACAUUCAUAUAGAUGUUCAAGUACCUGAGGCAGGUGUAAUUCAUCUGAUAUAAAGGAUUGAUGUGGCUUUUCCUGAAGCUAUGAAAGAUAUCUCUGGUUGUUGGGGAAAGUGAAAACAAUUGAGCUUAUCUAAUCAGUGGCUCGAUUUUUUUUUUUAUCAGUUUGAAGACUGUAUAUUGGAGUAAAUUAUUUGAUAAGGACAUUUUGGCAGUACUUAUGUGUGUGUGCUUGAUUUUCUCUGACCGUGGUUAAGUCUCAGUUGGAGAAAAGGCCAUGUUGCCUUGUCACUAUCAAGUCUGUGACAUCAGGCAGGAGGAGGCAUGGAAGGAGUGGGGGACUGUCAACAGCCUCAGACCCCCGGGCAUCUAAGUAGCCACAGAUUCUCUUACAGCCAGAUGUCAGCCAUAACACCAACCACACACUCUCACUCACAAAUCAACUUCUCUAUGUCUGUCUCACCCAUAACAGUAUCCUCUCUCUCUCCUCUCCGCCCUGAGGUGCAUGAGUAUGGGUGUGUGCCUCCAGUUUCUCUUUGUGUAUAUUGCCUGUGUGCGUCUCUGUUGUUGUAUGUGAGAGUGUGUGUGUGUCACCCCGAGUUGAUAUGCCCGGUGGAGGCAUGUUGGGCUUAAUGCCGACUUUCCGUCAGUGGGCGUUUUGCAGCAGGGGGGAUACGAGGGCAUGAGUGUCAUACAUUGUACAAAUCUGACUCCUCACUCUUGCCUUUGGCACGCAUUGCUCUCGUAUAGGGUGACAAGGUAAGAGAUAGCCCGAACUGGUACACUUUGGGCACUACACACACAAAAAACGCACUCUUCUGCUCAGACAUUUACAGCACACACUGUCAGGAAAAACACACAUGCACAUGCACAGGCUAAAUGCACCAAUAGAAAAUGAUUGCACACACUGCCACACACUGAUACCAGCUCAUUUUACAUGGUUUUAUAUUUGACAGUAUAUACUGUACCACGCUUUCAAAGGGGGAGGCAUUUUGAGGGUAAGGAGGUAUGUGUCUUGAUAAAAGAGUGGUUGUUGAAUGGGUAUCAUGCUGCUCAGCAUAUUUUACCAUAAUCGCUCACAGCCGUAAUUUUGACAAAGCAUUCCUUGUGAAGUUAGCAAUUUGCCAUCUCCAGUGUAAAUCCACAUUAUCCAGGUGCAUAUAUGCUACCUGGACGCCUUUUUUCAACAGGCUUACAGUGCUCUUAAGCAGAUUAGAAAAUGUUUUUUCUUCUAAGACGGUGAUCUUACCGGCUUUUUGAUUGUCUGCUGCAGACUCGUUCCCCUCUACACCUUCCUAAAAUGUAAAAUACUUAAUUACAGCUUUCUCUCAGACGUACAAUUACAGCUGACUGCUUUUGGUCUUGUUGAACCCACCAACAAAGGCAUGGAAUAUCACAUAAAGUCUCAUCUGUUAUUUCGACUUGAAUGGAAGCCAAGGAAUAAAUUAAGAUAUGAAUACCACUGAUAUUCUCUGAAAUCUACUAUGUCUGCUUUUUUUUAUGUUGCCAUUUUUUAAGUUAAGUCUAGCUGGGAGGACAGAUGUUGGAGGGUGACAAAAGUGACCUUCACUCUCUAUUUCUCACACACAUAUAUGUACAUAUAGACACAAACAUGCACGCACAGCACCUACCUCUGUUUCUCACAUCACUCUGAAAUAGCUCCUUGUUCACCUCUGAUGAGAGAGGUGGGGGAGGUAGUGAGAAAUGGCAAAAAGAGACAGAGAAAUGCGAGAAAGGGUGAGAGUUGACCUUUGGGUCUUGCUGAAGCGAGCUCUGUAAGUGAGGGGGCGGGUGGCUGAACUAAGUGGCUGAUUCAUUUCCCCAGAGACCCCCUUCCCCCAAGCCGUGCACGAACACAUACACACACACACACACACCCUUUCCCUUGUGGAUGGGUCCAGUGAUCCAGGUGCUGGCCUCUGCAGAGAUGGCAACAUGCCCUCUGUUGACCCAGGGGGAGCCCAGCUGGGGUGAAAGGUCAAGGCAGAAUCCUCCCACUGUCUGUCCGUGUGUGUUUUUGGCUGUGAAGACCACAGGCGGAGCCUCAGGAAAUAUGGCCGACACUGGGCCUUGCCUGACCUCUUCUCAUUUUUUCAUCUUUUGACAACAGAGGAGAUCAGGAGAAAGGAGAAAGGAGAAAGUGACGUCUGCAAAGUUCAUUUGAGUUCAGAAGCGUAGGUGGAAAUGUGCCUAUGGGCUGGAUGAAACAAGAAGCAGUUAAAAUGGAGUUAAUGUUUUUGUGUCACUGGAACAAGGGGUUGUAUAAGGUCUAAUAACAUUCAGAGUUAUUAAUUUUUUAUUGUGUUUGCAUAUAAAUAAAUACUACAGUCUUGUUGUUUGGGGUUUUGAAUGCACCCAUGUCAUUGACUGUACCUAUUAACAGGGCAACAUUUACAUUUCUUGCCACCCUAUCUCUAAAUACACUUUUUUUAUCAACACUGUGUUUAUUCAAGACAAGGCCUCCAAUAUUCAGCAUCACGCAUAUGAACUUGGCAAGCAAGUGAACUUGUCCUCCUCCCCUGCCCACCUCUCCUUCCCUUUUCCCCUCCCUCCCUCCCUCCCGCCCUGCCUCUCUCCAUCCACACCUCGGUGUUUCCUUUCAGCUUGAUGCUAAGUCAAGCAGCUGUCUUGUUUUGGGUUACGGUGACUGACGCUCAGGUAACAAAAGCUCAACGCUGCCCCGUCAGCACUAUCCCUUCUGUCCGCAGUGUGCUGAGGCAGAUGCUAGGUGAGCCUGAGAUACCAAUGCAAUGCCUGGAACAGACAGUACUGAGGGCGUUAUAAAUUAGAAAUGAUCACUUUGUGAAUACUAUAAUGGGCAUAAAUUAGAAAUGCUUAGUGGGGAAUGGAAAACCAGCAUUAGGUUUGAAUUAUACAUUACCCUAUUCUUGUUCUAUAAUUGCUAGUGUUUCCCAUCCUCUUUUUCAGUUCCAGGAUAUUGUCUCCUCACAAACACGCUGAAAUUGACCUAAGUAAGCAAAAAUGUAAAGAUGGUUUUUGUUACUCACUGAAUCUACAAAAAAAAAAAGGGUUCAGACAUUUAUGAAUAAAGUUGUGGGUCGGAGGUCUCCAUGUUCUUAUGUCCAGUGUAAUUGACUAGAGUUUUUGAGUUGAAAGGGUAACCCAUUUACAAAUGGCUCUGUGUUGGAUUUAGUUUAGAGAAACGACAAUACUUAGGGGUCCAGUAAGUAACAUUUAGAAGGACCUAUUGGCAGAAAUUGAAUAUUCAUAGGUAUGUUUUAUGUUUGUACAAUCACCUAAAAAUAUGAAUCGUUGUGUUUUUGUUUCCUUAGAAUGAGACGUUUUUAUCUACAGAAAUAGUAGGUCCUCUUCCAUGGAAUCUACCACAUUAAACCGCCAUGUUUCGAUAAUAGGCCUUAAGGGACAAACCACUUUUAAAUAGGGCCUUUUACGUUUUUCCUACACGCUUAUAACAGGAGGUUGAGACAAGGGUAUUGCAAUCAGUAACUACAGAUCUAGAUGCCACAAAAUUCUACACACUCGACCUUUAAGUGUGGCUAAGAAUACAUACCCUGUUAUGUGUUUUAUAAAGAGCAUUAUCCAAGUGGGGGUCUUGAUGCCAACGUAGUGUGGAAGAUGGAGC